rfam:Chelonia mydas contig215373, whole genome shotgun sequence.
AGCCCAGCGCCGAAUCCCCGUCCCGCGGUGGGGCGUGGGAAAUGUGGCGUACAGAAGACCCACUCCCCGGUGCCGCUCUCGGGGGCCCAAGUCCUUCUGAUCGAGGCACAGCCUGUGGACGGUGUGAGGCCGGUAGCGGCCCCCGGCGCGCCGGGACCGGGUCUUCUUGGAGUCGGAUUGCUUGGGAAUGCAGCCCAAAGCUGGUGGUAAACUCCAUCUAAGGUU